GACGAACGCUGGCGGCGUGCUUAACACAUGCAAGUCGAACGAAGUGGCGAACGGGUGAGUAACGCGUAAUCAACCUGCCCUUCAGAGGGGGACAACAGUUGGAAACGACUGCUAAUACCGCAUACUGAAGGAGGGGAUUGCGUCUGAUUAGCUAGUUGGAGGGGUAACGGCCCACCAAGGCGAUGAUCAGUAGCCGGGUGGGAAGGAUGAACGGCACAAUUGGGAACUGGAAACGGCCCAGAACCCUACGGGAGGGAGCAGGGGGGAAUCUUCCGAAAUUGAGGAAAGUCCUACGGAGCAAAGCCGGGUGAGUGAUGACGGCCUUCGGGUUGUAAAGGUCUGUUAAUCGGGAAGCGGUACCGGAAGAGAAAGCCACGGCUAACUACGUGCCAGCCGCCGCGGUAAUUC
rnacentral:rRNA from 1 species